GUUAAUGUAGCUUAAAACCAAAGCAACGUACUGAAAAUACCUAGACGA
rnacentral:tRNA from 1 species